AGCGUAGGCGGCGUGGUAAGUCAGAUGUGAAAUCCCGGGGCUCAACCCCGGAACUGCAUCCGAUACUGCCGUGCUAGAGGAUUGGAGAGGUAGCUGGAAUUCACGGUGUAGCAGUGAAAUGCGUAGAUAUCGUGAGGAACACUCGUGGCGAAAGCGAGCUACUGGACAACUCCUGACGCUGAGGCUCGAAGGCCAGAGUAGCGAAAG
rnacentral:rRNA from 1 species